GCCAGUGUUGCUCAGCGGUUAGAGUGUCAGCCCACGCACUGAAAGGUCAUGGGUUCAAUUCCCGGUCAAGGGCA
rnacentral:tRNA from 1 species